rnacentral:rRNA from 1 species
GACGUAGGAGGCGAGCGUUAUCCGGAUUCACUGGGCGUAAAGCGCAUGUAGGCGGUUGCACAAGUCCGUUGUUAAAGCCCCUGGCUCAACUGGGGGAGGUCAAUGGAGACUGUGCGACUUGAGGGCAAUAGAGGCACGUGGAACUCCCGGUGUAGCGGUGGAAUGCGUAGAGAUCGGGAAGAACACCCGUGGCGAAGGCGGCUCUCUGGGACGGUACUGACGCUGAGACGCGAAAGCGUGGGGAGCGAACGAGG